rnacentral:rRNA from 1 species
GACGAACGCUGGCGGCGUGCCUAAUACAUGCAAGUAGAACGCUGAAGGAGGAGCUUGCUCUUCUGGAUGAGUUGCGGACGGGUGAGUAACGCGUAGGUAACCUGCCUGGUAGCGGGGGAUAACUAUUGGAAACGAUAGCUAAUACCGCAUAAGAGUAGAUGUUGCAUGACAUUUGCUUAAAAGGUGCAAUUGCAUCACUACCAGAUGGACCUGCGUUGUAUUAGCUAGUUGGUGGGGUAACGGCUCACCAAGGCGACGAUACAUAGCCGACCUGAGAGGGUGAUCGGCCACACUGGGACUGAGACACGGCCCAGACUCCUACGGGAGGCAGCAGUAGGGAAUCUUCGGCAAUGGACGGAAGUCUGACCGAGCAACGCCGCGUGAGUGAAGAAGGUUUUCGGAUCGUAAAGCUCUGUUGUAAGAGAAGAACGAGUGUGAGAGUGGAAAGUUCACACUGUGACGGUAUCUUACCAGAAAGGGACGGCUAACUACGUG